rnacentral:rRNA from 1 species
UGAUCCUGGCUCAGAACGUACGCUGGCGGCACGCCUAACACAUGCAAGUCGAACGAAGUAGCAAUACUUAGUGGCAGACGGGUGAGUAACAUGUAGGUAUCUGCCCUUUGGCCUGGAAUAACACGAGGAAACUUGUGCUAAUACCGGAUAAGUCUUUACGGAGAAAGCUUUAUGCACCAUUGGAUGAGCCUGCACUUGAUUAGUUUGUUGGUGGGGUAAUGGCCUACCAAGACUGUGAUCAAUAGCUGAUUUGAGAGGAUGAUCAGCCACAUUGGGACUGAGACACGGCCCAAACUCCUACGGGAGGCAGCAGUGGGGAAUCUUGCACAAUGGAGGAAACUCUGAUGCAGCGAUGCCGCGUGAGUGAAGAAGGCCCUUGGGUUGUAAAGCUCUUUCGUCGGGGAAGAAAAUGACUGUACCCGAAUAAGAAGGUCCGGCUAACUUCGUGCCAGCAGCCGCGGUAAUACGAAGGGGCCUAGCGUAGUUCGGAAUUACUGGGCUUAAAGAGUUCGUAGGUGGUUGAAAAAGUUAGUGGUGAAAUCCCAGAGCUUAACUCUGGAACUGCCAUUAAAACUUUUCAGCUAGAGUAUGAUAGAGGAAAGCAGAAUUUCUAGUGUAGAGGUGAAAUUCGUAGAUAUUAGAAAGAAUACCAAUUGCGAAGGCAGCUUUCUGGAUCAUUACUGACACUGAGGAACGAAAGCAUGGGUAGCGAAGAGGAUUAGAUACCCUCGUAGU